AGCAGCAGAGGAAGAAAUGCCAUCAAGUGCAGUCACUGAUGAGUCAGUGGAAGGUGGGGAUGAUGAGCCUUCUCCUCACGAGGCAUACAGUGGACCUUUGAGCGCAACAAAGGAGGCAGAAGAGGUAGAGGAAG